GAUGAACGCUGGCGGCGUGCUUAACACAUGCAAGUCGAACGAGAAGUGGAGACGGAAACCUUCGGGCGGAAGACUUUAUUUCGAGUGGCGGACGGGUGAGUAACGCGUGGGUAACCUGCCUCAUACAGGGGGAUAACAGUUGGAAACGACUGUUAAUACCGCAUAAGACCACAGCACCGCAUGGUGCGGGGGUAAAAACUCCGGUGGGAUGAGAUGGACCCGCGUUCGAUUAGCCAGUUGGCGGGGUAACGGCCCACCAAAGCGACGAUCGAUAGCCGAUCUGAGAGGAUGACCGGCCACAUUGGGACUGAGACACGGCCCAAACUCCUACGGGAGGCAGCAGUAGGGAAUAUUGCACAAUGGGGGAAACCCUGAUGCAGCGACGCCGCGUGAGUGAAGAAGUAUUUCGGUAUGUAAAGCUCUAUCAGCAGGGAAGAAAAUGACGGUACCUGAGUAAGAAGCCCCGGCUAACUACGUG
rnacentral:rRNA from 1 species